AAAUUUAAGGGAAAAAAUGAUUGCCUAGAGAGAGAUACCUCCUUUCUAAUCGAAAAAUUUUAUUCCAACAAUUUUUCUGAAUGCACUGUUACUGCCAGAGAAUGAGCAGUGAUGGCAACUUGGUUUUUCUUUCAAUUACUUGUUUGUACAACCACUUUGUGGACACAUGUUGCUUUUUAAUCAGAUCUUUGCAAUGCAAUUGCUGCUACUAAUUAAACAUAAUGCAUUUACCAUGAUAUUAAAUAUUUGAGUACAAUGGAAACUUUAAAUCGAGCUGCUCUGCCUAGUUAAUUUCAAUAAGGCUCGAGUAAGGGUGGUAACCUUUUAUAGCUUCUAAAAAUCUAGUAUUUUGAAAAACUGCACGACCAAACAACAUGGUCUAAACAGAGAGGUUCUCUAGAGAUAUGCAUGUGGGAGUUGUUUAGGCCUCUUUGCAUAUUGUUUGAUGAUGGCCUGGAUAAACAAAAGUAGGAAAAUAGCUGAUGUUGCUAAUUCGUAGUUCUUAGGUGCAAAAUGACCAACAUGGUUUUAGUUUGUGGCGCCUUUCCAUGAAAAAGAGAACUAAGUUCAAGGAUUGCAUUACUCUAGCCAUACUGAUAUGCAGCGCUCUGAUUUAGGCUAAAUAUACUUGCCGAACUUCUCCGCUUUGGUGAUCGUGAGUUCUAUAAAGAUUGGUGGAAUGCAAAAACAGUUGAGGAGUAUUGGAGACUGUGGAAUAUGCCUGUUCACAAAUGGAUGGUCCGACAUAUAUAUUUCCCAUGCUUAAGGAACGGGAUACCUAAGGUAAAUUGACUCUCACUUUUAAACUGCAAGCAUUUUAUUUUUUUUUUUGUU